CGCUGGCGGCAGGCUUAACACAUGCAAGUCGAACGCGUGUAGCAAUACACGAGUGGCGCACGGGUGAGUAACGCGUGGAUAUCUGCCUUUUGGUUCGGAAUAACUCCGGGAAACUGGAGCUAAUACCGGAUGGUUCCUACGGGAUAGAGAUUUAUCGCCAAAAGAUGAGUCCGCGUACGAUUAGCUAGUUGGUGAGGUAAUGGCUCACCAAGGCGACGAUCGUUAGCUGGUCUGAGAGGACGAUCAGCCACACUGGGACUGAGACACGGCCCAGACUCCUGCGGGAGGCAGCAGUGGGAAUAUUGGACAAUGGGGGCAACCCUGAUCCAGCCAUGCCGCGUGAGUGAUGAAGGCCUUCGGGUUGUAAAGCUCUUUUGGCGGGGACGAUGAUGACGGUACCCGCAGAAUAAGCCCCGGCUAACUUCGUG
rnacentral:rRNA from 1 species